UGGCGCCGUCUUUAGCCUGAUUUAAGAUAAACCCUUGCAAUUAUAUUUAAAAUAAAUCCUUGUCUUCACACUGCUUUUCUUUUUUUCGUUAAUUUAUUUCGUACUUUAAUGACGAGUACUCACGCGUCUACUAAUUUCGUGCCACAAAAUAGAGAUAAAUUGUCUCUAUUUACUGCUAUUCAAUUAAAGCUCCGUUAAUAUGAGAUUUCCGGGUUCGAUUCCCUGUGUUAGUUAAUUUUCCUCUCUGUUUCCGAGAUAUGCUUGGUAAAAGGAAAUUGGAAACGGAGGGGCCUGAUAAGGAUGACAAUUUUGAGGAUGAUUCGCCGGUGGACAUGGAAAUUGUUAGGGAACGCAUGAAGCUCGUUCCCAUUCCUGAAGGCACCUUUCGAGAAAUGCCUUCCGAUAUUUUUGAUGAUCAGGCAGUCUUAAAGUACAAUGAUGGAGUGGAAGGCAUAAAGUCAUUAAAAAUAAAAACUGAAGGGCCAUUGCUUGAUAGCAAAAAUUGCAUGAAUGCUAAUUCUGGAUUAAAGGGUUCUCCAUUCUUGGAAGCGGAUAAGUGCAACAGAAAUGAGGCAGAAUUAUCAAUUCCUUACAAUGAAUCUGCUGAACUGGUUCCAACACAUCAUACUAUGUCAGAUAUCUGCCCUCCCAACUUCAGCAUUUGGACCGCCGAAGAUGAUUUGGUGCUCAAAAAUGCGGUAGAGGCUGGUGCAGCUCUGGAGGCUCUUGCAAAAGGUGCUGUGCGAUUUUCUCGUCGCUUUACAGUCAGAGAACUUCGGGAACGGUGGCAUGCUCUUCUUUAUAACCCAGAAAUAUCAACAAAAGCAGCUGCUAGCAUGGUCGAGGUUGAGUUGUCUCAUAUGAGUUUUUCAAAACUGGCCCAGUCUAGCAAGUUGAAUGGAAAAGAUGAUAUUGCACAGAAACACAAAUUGCAGAAUGUUCGCAAUCAAUACUACCAAAUGAGAAAGAGAAUUGAUGCAGAAAGAAUUCCUCCUGUACAGGAUUAUUCUCUUUUCCCAAAUGACGCUGUUGUUAUUUGUACUGGGAACGCAAACGAAGUUGUGCAGGAAGAGAGGGCUGUGAUGUAUGAAGGGGGUCCUCUUGCAGUCAGUAUUGAAGAAGCUGCUGUGGCACCGCCUUUUGGGCUUUCGGACGAAUGUCUUGAUAUUGAAGAUAAAGCCUUCAAUCAAAUGGUUAACUUUUUAGCUAGUGGGGGACUUGAAGGUGAUGCAGGUGCUUUUUCUUCCACAAAUAUGGAUUCCUUAGAAGUUAAUCCUGCCCCCUUAAAUCUUAUUUCAAAUGGUUGUUUUGACUUCUCAAGGCAUGAUCCAUCUGUUAUGCCAACUGUCACUGCCACAGAUAGUGUCAACCUGUAUAUUUCUACUGAAAAUAUGCAUCAUUUGGUGGAAGACAUGCCUCAAGAAGAAGUGCACAAUUCAGUUAACAUUCAUGAUAGAUCAUAUAUCAUACAAUCUAGUUUGCCCUUGGACACCAUUACUGCUCCUAUUAUUAACAAUGAACCUAAUAUGAACCCAGUUUCUUUAGUCAAUUGUAAUUCUGGCACUUUCCAGAGUAUCGACACUAGAUAUAAUAGAGCAGCAGGGUUUGAAAAAGCAGUUUCAGAAGAAAACAUUGCUGCCUCAGGCAUGUUGUCACAGGCAAGCAUUGGAAAUUGGGAAGGUGACCCUGCAUUUUUAAUGCCUUCUAUGACUGUUGAUAUUAAGGACAAUGCUGAUGAAACAAUUAUAAGCACUGAAUACGAGGGAACAAGUGGACCUAGAGAGUCCGUUGGAGAUGGUCAUGUGAUGUUGAGCUCAUUAGCUACUAAAGAGAAGCUCCUCAUUUCAAGUAGCGGACUUGUCCAAUCCUCAUGUGGUAAGGUGCAGCAUGAACCUCAACAGCAACCAGCUCCUAAUUUUUUACCUAACUGCAGUGAAGGAUCAAAUAUGUAUGCAUUACGAAAUGGGCAGGAGCUUCUAUGCAAUUCAGAAUAUGUUAUGUUAGGUACUCCUAUGAAAGAUGAAUCACAAGUAGGACCUUCACAGAGUGCAGGCAAUAUGGCUCCGUGUUCAAACAACUCUGCAAUGGAAAUGACUGUUUGUUUGGAAUCUAAUGGCCUUGAAGUGGCAUCCAUACCUGCAUUCACUUCACCUGUUAAUGCACAAGCUGGUCAAGAAUGGAGUCAUGAUGCAGUUAAGUCAGAAGAUUUGACUUUAAAUAUUUAUGCCAACUGUCAGCCACACUUAUUUGUUCAUGGACCUAUGGAUUGUGUAUUGAACACAGAGGAUACUAAUGUGCCUGACAAUGACGAAUUCAAUCCACUAGCAUAUCAGGAGCCUUCAUCUAUAUCAAGUGUUAUUCCGUCCAGUUAUGUUGAGCAGACUACUGCGUGGGGAUCUUUAUCUAUGCACGGCAACCUGGGUAACUCAAUGCCUCUCUGUAAAGGAUAUCCUGUUGUCAAGGAAGAGCCUGAAACGGUAGAAACUCUUGUGCAGGCAGCUAAUGAGUUGCAGCCCCUCAGUUUUAAAGAUAAGGAGAGUAAUAUGCCUUCUUCAGAUUAUCAACAGGUUAAAAUGGAGAUUUUAGAAUUCACUGCACCAUCUGUAGUUUCUGAGGAAGUGGGUGCAAGUAAGAAUGAAUCUCAUCCAGGGGUUCCAUCUUCUAGUCUUCCUGUUGCCUUACAACAAGGGAUCUCAACAGUACCUUUAAUGUUAGAAAACUCUACUAAUAAUAAAUUUAAGUUGUUAUCCUCGGACAAAUGCAUUCAUGCCCCCUUGCAUGGUAAUGAUGGCUAUGUAGACUUUGCAAGACCUUUACAGUUUGAAGGGGCACCUGCCAUUCAAGAUAAUAUAAUGCAAGUCUCUCAAGUGGCAUCCUUUAUUCCUAUUGAUGAUGGAUUGAAUGAUUUUCAAGUGAUGAGUUGUGAAGAAGCUGCUGCUGACCAAUUUCCAGAGAAUCAAGAGAAUAAUUUUUCAGACAGUGAUGAAGAGCUGCCACAUUUUUCUGAUGUUGAAGCUAUGAUAUUGGAUAUGGACCUGGAUCCUGGUGAUGAUGAAUCUUUUUCUUCAAGGACUGAAUCUAAACGCAUGUACAAGCAACAUAGGAAGGUCAUCAUCAGAUUAGAACAAACUGCCAAUUCAGCCAUGCAAAGAUCACUUGCUUCCAAUGGAGCAUAUGCAAUCUUUUAUGGGUGCCAUUUACGAUAUUUUAUUAAAAAAAAUGAGGUGACAAUAGGAAGGGUUACACAGGAUAACCUUGUGGAUAUUGAUUUGGGCAAGGAAGGUCGUGCUAAUAAAGUAUCUCGUCGGCAGGCAACCAUAAGGCUAAGGGAAGAUGGAUUAUUUUAUCUAGAGAACCAUGGGAGACGUGCAAUAGCUGUAAAUAGCUGUGACAUUAUGAGUGGACAGUGUAUCAGACUGGGUUCUAAUUGCUUGAUAGAGGAAGAAGAUAUAAAUGGAGGUUGAGAGCUCUCUUUUGGGAUAUGCUGGGAUGAAUUAAUGUGAUGCUGUUGGAUUUCGUAGAAAUCUGAUUAUUGGGCUUGGAGGACGGAAUCCCUCUUUGCUAGCAUUCUCUUCGCUGUUGAAAGACACAGUCAGGAGGAUUAAUGGUGUUUUCAUUCAGGAAACACAUUGGGCUUCAUUUGGUGCUCUCGCAUGAUGUUUUUACAGGGGUUUGAAAGUGCAGAUUUGAAAAUAGUGUUUUUGCUACAGUACCGCGUGAAUAGUGUUUUUGCUACAGUACCGCGUGAACAGUGAUUUGCUACAGUACCGCGUGAACAGUGUUUUUGCUACAGUACCGCGUGAACAGUGUUUGCUACAGUGCUGCGUGAAUAGUAAAAAUGCUACAGUGCCGUGAAUAGUGCAGCUACAGUGCGUGAACAGUGUUUUCAGCAGGUUCUAUACUUGUGGAGUCCAGAUGUAACUGUCGGUGAAGGGGCGCACUUGCAUAUAUAGAAAGGAGUUCAUUUGGGAUUUAGAUCAUCAAGCAAUUCAAUGAAUAUUUUCCCAUUCAUAGCAGCAGACCUAGAGCAGACCUUAGAAGCAUAUCUAAUAUGAAUAUAAGAGCAGAUUUGAAGGAGAAUUAUUGGAGACCUAAGAGCAGAAUUGGAGGAUAAUUAUUGCAGACCUAAGAGCAGAAUUGAAUGUGAAGUAUUGCAAACCCAAGAGCAGAAUUGAAGAGUGAAUUAUUGCAGAACUAUGAGCAGACAAUAUUGAAGAUUACAAGCGAAAUUCAAUAAGUUUUUUUUUGAGCAGAUUUGUGGAGUAUCAGAUCUGAUUUAAGAAGAAGAUCAACUAUUUAUCACUUUAUUUUUUUAUAGAUUGGAGGAAUGACUUUCAUCUUUGAGAUAAGUAGGAGGCGAAGGGAACAAUCUGAUAAAAAACACCAGGCCAGAAUGCAUACAUAGUACAUGAAUAAUUCAACGUUAAGAUUAAUGGAGUAUGGCACAUUCUUAAGCUUUCCAAAUGAUUAAUUUCUCACAUAAAGGAUGCCUUGUUUAGUAACCAAUGAAAAUAUACUUGUACAAAACCUUCCAAUUUACAUGUAUUUUAUCGGUGAUGUUUCUAUUGCACUCGGUUUUAAGUUUAUCUUCAAAUUUGUUGACGGAGGAUGACAUUUGAAACUUUCCUGACAACUGACAAUGUUUGACAUCUAGGCCAUAUUUUACAUGUAUCAUGGAUGUUGUAAAUCCAUAUUUAAGGUGAUUAAGACUGCCUCUAAUUGGUGAAGGCAGUAUUUGUUGUACCAGUAUGACAUAUCAAUCCAAUGAUAUGAACGCAAAUCAAAACAUAAGAAUUUGAUGCAUUAGUUUCAGCUGUUUGAGGAAUUCUAAUGAGUAAUGCCUUCAAGGGUCCUCAUAAAGUUUCACUGAUACAGUUAUCCUUGUAAAAUUUUGUUUUAAAUAAAAAAUUUACUUUUGCUUUGAGUCACAGGGACAGUUGCCUUUA